GGAGGGGUGCCAGAGCGGCCGAAUGGGACAGUCUCGAAAACUGUUGUGCCUCCGGGUACCGUGGGUUCAAAUCCCACCCUCUCCGCCA
rnacentral:tRNA from 2 species